rnacentral:lncRNA from 1 species
UACAGGUUCAGAGGUUCAGUCCAUUAUCAUCAAGAUGGGAGCAUGGUAGCAUCCAGGCAGGCAUGGUGCAGGAGAAGCUGAGCGAUCUACGUCUUCAUCUGAAAGGGGCUAGGACAAGACUGGCUCCCAAGGGGUUAUGAAGAAAUCUCUUAAUUACAGUGAAGCAGCAAUCAAAAACAGAAAAGAGGACUGGCUCAUUCUUAACAAGAAUCUCAAAUGUACUGGGAACACUCUCAACUGGUAAAAUUCUAUCAAAUGUCAAAGGGAUAUAACCAGAAAAAUGAAGCAAUAUUUCAUGCAGAAAAUUUGCAAAAGAAGUGAAACUGAUUCCAAAGCCAAUGGAAACAUUUGGCUUUUAUGUGCUACAAUGAGAACAAACUGCUCUGCUCUUGUUAGCUUAAAGUUUUCAUUAAUCUGUAACUCUCAAAUUUUAUUUUGACUUCAUUUCUGCACAAACCUACGUGUUAAGUUUUAAAGUUAAACAACACAAUUCAAAUGAUUGCAGCUUUCUAUGAGUUUACUUUGUAUAAAUGCUUUUGAAUGUACUUGUGAAUGUUAGAAAUCUACUUUGAAAUAGGUCAUUACUAUGUAAAAGUGCAUAAUAUGUGCAUAUGUACACUGAUGUUUUCCCCUAUUUAUCCAUAUUGUUGUUAUUCAAGAGGAUCAGGAGGAGGUCAGUAUUUGAAGUAUGUACAAAGGUACCAGAGACACAGGAGAAAAAUACUUUAAAAUCCAUGGGAUAAUCAUGUCUCUUACAAAAGUUCUAUGUUUCAAACUCAUUUACAUAUGAGUUAAAAGAAAACAUUAUUUUAUUCAUGUUAGACUUUGAAAGGUCUAACCGCAGGAACAAUUUGUACGAUGGUACAUGAAUGUGUUCACAUUUUGACAAUUUUGCUAGUUUUAAUAACUGACAUUUAGUCCCCUGUUUUCUCACAGAUUAACUUCCUUCAGUUUUAGUCAGGACGGAUCAUCUGGUUUCUCUGUUUCAGUUUCUAUGCCUUUUGAGUUUCUGCUCCUAUUCAUUGAGAACUUUUCUUGUUUGUGGCGUGCAAUCUGCUGUUAAACCAGUACAGCUCAAAGGUAUCACUGUUAGGUUCAGAAGUUGUACCUGCUUCUCCGUAAUAGUAAAUAUGUUGUUGAUUUAAAAC